rnacentral:rRNA from 1 species
CCUACGGGGGGCUGCAGUGGGGAAUAUUCCGCAAUGGACGAAAGUCUGACGGAGCAACGCCGCGUGAGUGAUGAAGGUUUUCGGACUGUAAAACUCUGUUGUUUAGGACGAAAGUGCCUGUUGCAAAUAGUUGCAGGUAUUGACGGUACUGAACGAGGAAGCCACGGCUAACUACGUGCCAGCAGCCGCGGUAAUACGUAGGUGGCAAGCGUUGUCCGGAAUUAUUGGGCGUAAAGAGCAUGUAGGUGGGCUGUUAAGUCUGUUGUGAAAAUGCGGGGCUCAACCCCGUAUUGCGAUGGAAACUGACAGUCUUGAGUGCAGGAGAGGAAAGGGGAAUUCCCAGUGUAGCGGUGAAAUGCGUAGAUAUUGGGAGGAACACCAGUGGCGAAGGCGCCUUUCUGGACUGUGUCUGACACUGAGAUGCGAAAGCUAGGGGAGCGAACGGGCUUAGAUACCCCGGUAGUC